UUUCUUUUUCCAUUGCCAGGGUCUGUUUGCUGCGAAACUCAGGACAAACGCACACAUACACACUAGCCUACAGCCUGGGGGCUCCGCCAUGUGCCCCACAGAUGUGCCUGGCAUCGGAUUGUCUGACCCUCUUAGGAUUGCACAACAAAGAGCCCUCCCUCUGGCGCAUUGGCUGGGUGUCCAUGUGACGAUAGUGCAUGGCCAGUACCCUGGACUGGACACAGACUUGGCUCAGUGAUGGAAACGGAACUUGGACCUGCGAAGACUCAGGCACUCCAGGUUGGAUUCUGUGCAGGAUUGCGCCAAACUGCUGCUUCCGGUGGCUGACUGAGGGCCUCUGCAGCAGCGGGAUGUGCAGCCUCGUCCGACUGGAGGAGUCCGUCCUUGGCUAGUGAUGCUUGGGGCUGGGAGGGUUGUAGACCCAGUCGAUGAUGAUGAGGGCCAUGCUGCCGAUCAUGAAGAUGAUGCCGGUC